AGUGAACGCUGGCGGUAGGCCUAACACAUGCAAGUCGAACGGCAGCACAGUAAGAGCUUGCUCUUACGGGUGGCGAGUGGCGGACGGGUGAGGAAUACAUCGGAAUCUACUUUUUCGUGGGGGAUAACGUAGGGAAACUUACGCUAAUACCGCAUACGACCUACGGGUGAAAGCAGGGGAUCUUCGGACCUUGCGCGAUUGAAUGAGCCGAUGUCGGAUUAGCUAGUUGGCGGGGUAAAGGCCCACCAAGGCGCCGAUCCGUAGCUGGUCUGAGAGGAUGGUCGGCGACACUGGAACUGAGACACGGUCCAGACUCCUACGGGAGGCAGCAGUGGGGAAUAUUGGACAAUGGGCGCAAGCCUGAUCCAGCCAUACCGCGUGGGUGAAGAAGGCCUUCGGGUUGUAAAGCCCUUUUGUUGGGAAAGAAAAGCAGCAGGUUAAUACCCCGCUGUUCUGACGGUACCCAAAGAAUAAGCACCGGCUAACUUCGUG
rnacentral:rRNA from 1 species